GAACGAGAAAGUGGAGCAAUCCAUGAGUAAAGUGGCGCACGGGUGAGUAACACGUGACUAACCUACCCAGGAGUGGGGGAUAACUGAGGGAAACCUUAGCUAAUACCGCAUAACACCUACGGGUCAAAGGAGCAAUUCGCUUCUGGAGGGGGUCGCGGCCGAUUAGUUAGUUGGCAGGGUAACGGCCUACCAAGACGAUGAUCGGUAUCCGGCCUGAGAGGGCGCACGGACACACUGGAACUGAAACACGGUCCAGACUCCUACGGGAGGCAGCAGUGGGGAAUUUUGCGCAAUGGGGGAAACCCUGACGCAGCAACGCCGCGUGGAGGAUGAAGUCCUUCGGGACGUAAACUCCUUUCGAUCGGGACGAUUAUGACGGUACCGGAAGAAGAAGCCCCGGCUAACUUCGUG
rnacentral:rRNA from 1 species